rnacentral:rRNA from 1 species
UACGGGGGGUGCGAGCGUUGUCCGGAAUUACUGGGCGUAAAGCGCGUGUAGGUGGUGGGACAAGUCUGCUGUGAAAGCGCCUGGCUUAACCGGGCGAGGUCGGCGGAAACUGUCCGACUCGAGGACGGUAGAGGGGGGUGGAAUUCCCGGUGUAGUGGUGAAAUGCGUAGAGAUCGGGAGGAACACCUGUGGCGAAGGCGGCCCCCUGGGCCGGCCCUGACACUGAGACGCGAAGGCGUGGGGAGCGAACGGG